AAUGAGGCACAGGUGACAUUUGCAUCAGUAUUGUGAUAGCAGUCGAACAAGAUGAAAGGUUUUGUGCUAUUCCUGGUUGUCGUGCUUCUUGCGUACACGUACGCCGCCCCACAGGCAUCUAACUACGGCAAUGUGACGGCGAAUGGCGGCAGUGCCGCUUCUGGAGCCGUGUCAGGCUCCACUUUUGGCGAUGGGGCAUUCAGCACAAGACCAAGAAUGUGUGGAUGGUUGAUCUUAUUUCCUUGCUGAGUGUGCAGUGAAAAGCCUAUACCUUAUUAUCUCUAACUGUUCGAAGAACACUUGAAUGUUUUUUUUUUUUAAUAGUGACUAGUUAUUCUAUAUGCAUACUAAUACCGAAUAUGUAAACAAUAAUUUAGACAAAUAAUGUAAAUGUUACUUGAAAUAAAUGAUUGUAAAAAACUA